rnacentral:rRNA from 1 species
CGAGGACGACUGGAGCUUUCGGAAAAGCAAAUGCAUUUCGGGGAGUACGAGCUAUCUCCAAUCAAACUUGGAGAUAGCUCGUACUCCCCGAAAUGCAUUUAGGUGCAGCCUCGAAGCAGAGUGAUAGAGGUAGAGCGACUGAUAAGAUGCGAGGGCUUCACCGCCUAUCAAGUCUUGACAAACUCGGAAUACUAUCACUUGAUCUUUGGGAGUGAGGGCAUGGGUGCUAAGGUCCAUGUCCGAAAGAGGAACAACUCAGACCACCAGCUAAGGUCCCGAAAUAAGGGCUAAGUUGAAUAAACGAAGUAAAACUGCAAAGACAGCUAGGAUGUUGGCUUGGAAGCAGCCAUUCAUUUAAAGAGUGCGUAACAGCUCACUAGUCGAGGAGUUUUGCAUGGAUAAUAAUCGGGCAUAAGCCCUUUACCGAAGCUGUG